CUGAGCCCCAGCUCGGGCGCUCGGCCUAAAUGUCCUCAAGGUCCUUCCGUGCCCAGGGCAGAAGAGCCGGUGUCCUAGCUAACGGGCUCUUCUGUCGGGUCUCCGGAACAGUGCAGGAAUAGGCAGGGACUUCUUAAGGGAGUCAUAGCCCCGAGAAAUGGCUGGAUGUGCCUGUGCCGGAGGCUGCUUCACAAGAGGCCGAGAAACACCGCUGCUGGAGCCCAGCUUCCCAGUUUGCCCAACGAAACCAGUAUCCCCACUGUAGGUGGCUGGUCUAACAGUGGGAUGGAGGCCCGAACAAGGAAGUGAGAGUCCAGGAAAGACAGGAAGAUUGGAACAGUGCUUCUUAGACAGUACAAGCACAAUGGCACACUCCAGCCUCGAGGGGAUGGAUGGUCAAAGCCAAGGAGUCAGAUAAUCCAUGGUGUUAAAAAGGCAGAGCUGGCCCCUGACCCUCCUCUUGGGCAGCCCACCUCAGGUCCUCAAAGCCACUUCGUGAGUUAGAGAUUAAAUAUUAUGGUCCCUUUCUACAGACGCGUAAACACGCCAAAGAGAUUGAAGUGUCUGCCCACGUUCCACAGCUACCCUGACCUCAGGGACUGCUGCCACCCUCCUGGACAGAGAUCGUGCAUAAACAGCAAUUCUGGGCCAACAGGUGUCCAUCCUGGGAGCCUGCUCCUAACCUCAUUGCCAACGCCUGCCACGCCCAUCCGGCGGGAAGGCCCAGUCUCCCCAGCUCCAGGCUCCUCCUGUCCUGGAAACCGGCUGCAGCCAGCCACAAAGAGAAACAGAGAGCGGCAAUUGCCGCCUCAACAAUGACAAGUGAUGAGGCACAAUAGGAGGGUCGGGCCUGUAAUCAGCUUCAAGCUAUACUUAGCUAUUUACGAGUCCUGCAAGCUCGCUCCGGCGCGUGCGGGAGAAGAGCACGCUGCAUCCUCUACCCUCAGCCCAGCGCUUGCUCAUCACCGCUGCGCACCAUGCGGAAAAGGACCCCUUUGUGACAGCGCCGCAAAUUACAGCCCAGGCAAUCUGAGUUUCAGUUGGUGGAUUCUUCUCUCUCCUAAAAGAAAAAUCUGUGUUAAGCUUAAUUACAGUCUGUCAUUACCCGCAAUCUUGUAAUGAUCCAAAGUCCCAGGCAAAAUGAUAAUAAUAAAAAAAGGGAAAGUGAGCGAGGAUCAAUUCAAAUAUGAAUAGAAAAGAUCUAGACAAACUCGGGGAAGGGAGGUGAUGGGGCAUUAUUCACAAACAAUCGAGAAUGAAGACCGGCCUCUCCGGAGGUAAACAGUUGUUCCGGCGCCAUUGUCCCUGCACCAGGCUCAGGGCUCAUCGCUAACUUCCCUCAUUCUUGGCGCCUUGAAUCUCGUCGCUGUAGCGUUCACCUUGUAAAGUGCAGUGAGCAGCUCCCGGGAUGGGAUGGGACACCCGUCAUCAAAUGACCUAGAUUUAAUUGGACGACACUUCUCACAUUCUGAGAAGGAGCCCGAACAGACUGGAAAGUGUUCUGUGAUUGCAUUCCGCUUAUAGCAAGAAAGGAGUGGGGCAGGGUGCUGGGGGAGGUGGAUCGACGACAGCUUUUAAACCAAGUUUUCUUCGGUCAGUUUUUACCGACCCAGGACCCACGGUGGCUUGCUUCCCAGCUCUAGACGGCUGCUGGGUGCGCCCUCUUGCGGCCGCGCGGGGAGUGAAAGGAUCUCUUCCCUCCGCCCCUCCGUAACCCGGGGGCUAAGCUGAUGAACUUGAGACAGGAUGCUGAAGAAUGGCCAAUCAGGAUGUCUCAGGAAGUCAAACCAAUCUUCCUGGAACUGGGGUGUCUUUCGGACUCCACUGAACUUUUUGAGACCGUGUAGGUGUUAAAAGAAAUCUCUUCUUUCCCUUUUUAGCUUUAUCAAAAUUAUGGAAACAAUUAUUCUAUAGCACAUAUAAAAUUGA